UGGGGAAUAUUGGACAAUGGGCGAAAGCCUGAUCCAGCAAUGCCGCGUGUGUGAAGAAGGCCUGCGGGUUGUAAAGCACUUUCGGUUGGGAAGAAAGAUUUUCAGCGAAUACCUGAAAAUUGUGACACUACCUUCAGAAGAAGCACCGGCUAACUCCGUGCCAGCAGCCGCGGUAAUACGGAGGGUGCGAGCGUUAAUCGGAAUUACUGGGCGUAAAGCGCGCGUAGGCGGCUAAGUAAGUCGGAUGUGAAAUCCCUGGGCUUAACCUAGGAACUGCAUUCGAUACUGCGGAGCUAGAGUAUGGUAGAGGAAAGCGGAAUUCCCGGUGUAGCGGUGAAAUGCGUAGAUAUCGGGAGGAACAUCAGUGGCGAAGGCGGCUUUCUGGACCAAUACUGACGCUGAGGCGCGAAAGCGUGGGUAGCAAACAGG
rnacentral:rRNA from 1 species